rnacentral:rRNA from 1 species
CGGAAUCCGCUAAGGAGUGUGUAACAACUCACCUGCCGAAUGAAUUAGCCCUGAAAAUGGAUGGCGCUGAAGCGGGCAGCCGAUACCACGCCGUCUGGGCAACUUUUGUUCCCAGAUGAGUAGGAGGACGUGGCGGUUGUACAGAAGCGUGCCCGCGAGGGUGCGUGGAACGGCCGCCAGUGCAGAUCUUGGUGUUAGUAGCAAAUAUUCAAUUGAAAACCUUGAAGGGCGAAGCGGGGAAGGGUUCCACGCGUACAUUGAUUGGGUGUGGGUGAGUCGUUCCUAAGCCGCGUGGCAAUAGCUGCAUAUCGGCGAAAGGGAAGCAGGUUGACAUUCCUGCACACGGAUGUGGAUGCGGUGACGCACUUCUGGGGCAGUGAAGCUGGCUUUGGCACUGGGCAGAGAUAUCUUUUCUGUUUAACCGUUAUCGAACGUACUGUGUGGAAUCCGCUUGUCGGGAGAAACACGUGCGGUCGGGCAUAGCGCCGGGAUUUUUCCGGCGUCCAGUUCGCCGGGGACGGACCUUGAAAAACUGCUUGCUGGCACAAUUCCUUGUGAGUUGUGUAUGAAGAAUCCACGCCGUAACGUACCGAUAACCGCAUCAGGUCCCCAAGGUGAACAGCCUCUGCUCGAUAUGAUCAAUGCAGGUAAGGGAAGUCGGCAAAUCAGACCCGUAACUUUGGGAAAAGGGUUGGCUCUAGUGCUGCGUGGGAUUGGUUGUUGUGGUGUUUUUGUUGAUCCUGUCAGCGUCGCUGCGGAGUGGGCAACCCCUCGGGGAGGCUCGCACUGUGGAGGUGUAGACGGUGAACGAUGAGGCCUGCGACGACGCCCACAGCAUGCAGCAAACUAGAACUGCAACGGGCAAAGGGAAUCCGACUGUUUAAUUAAAACAAAGCAUUGCGAGGGCCGUGGCCGGUGUUGACGC